GUUCUUGGGAGACUGGGGCAUUAUGGGGGUUUAAAAGAGCAACCUUGAGGCUUUAAGAAAGUGGUAGAAUACUGACAAAUAUUGCACAUGAAGGGUUCACCAGAACAAUAAGCGACAGAUAGUGCUUUGAAUUUUGGAUGGUUUUUCUUGUUUUACCUGAGGCAUUCUGUCGGCCAUAAAUGUGGUAGGUGACCAUGCAGUGAUUGGAGUAAG